ACUUAAUAGUUACAACUUUCAACAACGGAUCUCUUGGUUCUGGCAUCGAUGAAGAACGCAGCGAAAUGCGAUAAGUAGUGUGAAUUGCAGAAUUCAGUGAAUCAUCGAAUCUUUGAACGCACAUUGCGCCCCUUGGUAUUCCAUGGGGCAUGCCUGU
rnacentral:rRNA from 4 species